GGAUAUGAUGCUACCUUUUGACACCCAGUCUUACUUGCAUCCAUUGGUGCGGGCUGGUGAUUUAAAUUAUAUAAUCUGAUCC